AAGAUUGUUGGCGCAGCCCUAGAACUACAUUUCUCUUACACUUGCUCGGACGUAGGUGGAAGGAGAGGGACAUAGAUAUUUCCGGCGCACAUACGCCCCGCCGCACGAACGGCUUAAUAUUUUCAUUCAGCACGAACUCUGGCUAGGCACGUACCGCAGCCACACCCACACGAAAGACUACGAGAGACUACAUCUCUCCUAGCUCCUCUCUCUUGACCUCGUAGCCGAGUACACUUUAUAUAGCACAUCCACGCACACAGGCCAGUGGCCAUACACACCUAACUCACGCACGCAUGCACCACAACGGCCACUACCGCAUGACCCGGCCACCACGUUGGCACCUACUUCCUGGAAUAUCUCCAUGACCCAGCUAAGCAACUAACAGCCAUACAUGCAGCUAACUAACCUCACACAUGCUGGUCUAUUCGGUCACACGAUGCUGGUCGGCUCCGGCCGCACGCACGCAGGGCUCAUUCACCAUGGGCAUGGUGCGGCACCAGCGUCCGGACUCGAUCAACACGCGCACACGUGCUGAUCAUCAUUGUGACGUGGCUUAUUCGUAAUAUUCUCCCUCUAAGCCAUGACCUCGUCAUCAGCUCCCGUCGUUGCCGUCGUCAUGAGCGUGAUCCAGCCCGCGGGCCUGACCUGGCGCAACGACGCCGGUCGCACCGUGCUCCAUCACGACUCCGGCGACACACGCCGAGCUCCUUCUCCGCCGGUGACACACGCCUGAUGUCCCUCGACGCCCCGCACGUCCCGUGCGCACCCGACGCGCCCGACCGCCCCAGUGCGCCCCGCACGUCCCGCGCGCACCCGACGCGCCCGAUGAGCCCGAUCACACCAGUGCAUCCCGCGCGUCCCGCGCGCAUCCGACACGCCCGACGAGCCCGACCGCACUAGAUACUCACCGCGCGCCCGCGGUCCUGACGCGCCCGACGCGUCCAGUGCGCACCCAUAACACGCACCGGUCGCGUCCGGCUCCAUGCGCUGCGCCGCCGAGGCCUCUAUGCCUCCAUGCAGUGCCUCCACGCCGUCACGCCACCACGCAGCGCCUCCGCGGCCUCCGCGGUCGCCGCACAUACGACGUCACCGCCCGCCGCCUCCGCCACGCGCCACGACAGCCACAACGCCGCCCACCUCCAUGGGCUGACACACGGCCCGGAGCUCUGUCGUGCAGCUGCCGGUGAGCGCCGCCAUCGCUGCCACGCCUCCGGCACGGCAAGCACGCCCAAGACACCAAGCUCAUGAUACCAAUUGUUGGCGCAGCCCUAGAACUACCUCUCUCUCACACUCGCUCGCACGUAGGUGAAAGGAGAGGGACAUAGAUAUUUCCAGCGCACAUACGUCCCGCCGCACGAACGGCCUAAUAUUUUCAUUGAGCACGAACUCUGGCUCGGCACAUAAUAUUUUCAUUGAGCACGAACUCUGGCUCGGCACAUACGGCAGCCACACCCACACGAAAGACUACGAGAGACUACAUCUCUCCUAGGUCCUCUCUCUUGACCUCGCAGCCGAGUACACUUUAUAUAGCACAUCCACGCACACAGGCCAGUGGCCACACACACCUAACUCACACACGCAUGCACCACAACGGUCACUACCGCAUGACCCGGCCACCACGUUGGCACCUACUUCCUGGAAUAUCUCCAUGACCCAGCUAAGCAACUAACAGUCAUACAUGCAGCUAACUAACCUCACG
rnacentral:lncRNA from 1 species